AAAAUGACGAUCUCUAAGUUUAUUAUCUUUGUGAUUUUUUAUCUUUGUUUAAUAAUAAAUGACAAUACUUCCGGAGAACUGAUUGAUUGUCAAUCAGAUUCAGAAUGUCCUGGUGGUACACAUGAUAAAUGUAAUCAAUGUGUCAAUGAUUUUGAGUUACACUGCGAUCAUGUAGACAAAGAACCUAACAUAUUUUAUUUUGAAAUCUGUGACUCUAAACAUUGCGCAUGCGAACCUGGUUAUUAUCGAACGUACGAUAAAAAAUGUGUUAUAAAAUCUCAAUGUUACGGACGUCCUAAAUUUUUUAAA